GUCCCCAUCGUCUAGUCUGGCCUAGGACAUCAGAUUUUCAUUCUGACGACCCCGGUUCGAAUCCGGGUGGGGACG
rnacentral:tRNA from 1 species